rnacentral:piRNA from 1 species
UAAUGAGUUUAUUGGUGUUGCUGUAAGU